rnacentral:rRNA from 1 species
CCCUUAGAUGUUCUGGGCCGCACGCGCGCUACACUGAUGCAUUCAACAAGUUCACCUUGGCCGAGAGGCUUGGGCAAUCUUUUGAACAUGCAUCGUGAUAGGGAUAGAUUAUUGCAAUUAUUAAUCUUGAACGAGGAAUUCCUAGUAAACGUAGAUCAUCAAUCUGCAUUGAUUACGUCCCUGCCCUUUGUACACACCGCCCGUCGCACCUACCGAUUGAAUGGUCCGGUGAAGCCUCGAGAUUGUGGCCAGCUCGCUUUAUUGGGAGUUGGUUGCGAGAACUUGUCUAAACCAUAUCAUUUAGAGGAAGGUGAAGUCGUAACA